AACGAACGCUGGCGGCAUGCCUAACACAUGCAAGUCGAACGAGACCUUCGGGUCUAGUGGCGCACGGGUGCGUAACGCGUGGGAAUCUGCCCUUGGGUGCGGAAUAACAGUUAGAAAUGACUGCUAAUACCGCAUAAUGACUCCGGUCCAAAGAUUUAUCGCCCAAGGAUGAGCCCGCGUCGGAUUAGCUAGUUGGUGAGGUAAAAGCUCACCAAGGCGACGAUCCGUAGCUGGUCGGAGAGGAUGAUCAGCCACACUGGGACUGAGACACGGCCCAGACUCCUACGGGAGGCAGCAGUGGGGAAUAUUGGACAAUGGGCGAAAGCCUGAUCCAACAAUGCCGCGUGGGUGAUGAAGGCCUUAGGGUUGUAAAGCUCUUUUACCCGGGAUGAUAAUGACAGUACCGGGAGAAUAAGCCCCGGCUAACUCCGUGCCAGCAGCCGCCGCAGUAA
rnacentral:rRNA from 1 species